rnacentral:lncRNA from 1 species
CUAUAUUUGACUCUGUAACUUCGAGAGAAAAAAAACAUAAAACCUGUACAUAGGGAGUACUGUUUUACACGUGAGACAUCGAUGAUUAAAUUUAUGUGUAAUUUUUUUUUUUUAUUAUUCUUUAUUUUUGUGGUGCAAAUAAUUAACAUACUUUCUUGCAGUGCCCCAACAGCAGAAGCAAGGAUGAUAAUAUACAUGCGUUAAAAAGUACAGGGCAUAGAAGAUCACUGCACACAUUUUUGUUUAAGUAGCUAGGUCACAUGCUGGUCUACCUUGUCCAAGGUAUAUAAUAUAACAUCCUGGAUUCAAUAUUAGCCACUUAGACACUUGAGAGUCAUGUGAAGAUUAAUAGUAAAACAAGCUUAUAAAACAGGAAUAUGAGAGAAGUCUAGGGUCAUGAAAAGUAACAUGGUUAGGUAUGUCAUAUCACAUUAGUCGAUUAACCAUGUAGGAGCUGCAUAAUAACAUUCAAAUUGUAUGCUAAGACUGACUUGCACAGACUAUGCACGUGUUUCAAGCUAGUUAGACACAGGAGGGUAUUUGCAAAGUAAGUGCUAAGUCUGUUGUGACUAUAAGAAAAAAAAAAAAGUAUAACAUGCUAAACUGGCAUAGUUAUGACAAAUGGGACCGCUCCCAUCGUGGUUUUAAGGCAACAAAAACUAGGAGAGAACAAACAUAAGCUGAUUGCAUGUGAGAAGUUGCUAAGCUGAGUUCAGGGUAUCUGAUAACUUGCUGUGAAGCCGUGUUUCAGCCUAUUCCGUUCGGACAGUUGGUGCCUGGGUCCGCAGAUCGCAAUAGCCAGUAUGGGAGCAAGGCUGUUGGAUAGUCCUUGUGAGUAUCCUGUAAGGUUCUGUGUGGCAGGGCUUUCCUCCGGCUCUGGGCAUGCAGCGCUAGUCCGCGGACUUGGGUGCCCACUGUGGCCAGAUCUCUUCCCUUCCCAGGGCAGAAUGGUCUAGGCGGUGUGCGUCACAUGCGGCAGGCAUUCCUCAGCUUGCGUGCCAGAUUCAGAGAGGCAGCACCUCGAUGGGCUCUUAGCCCAGGCGGGCGUUUAGCAGCAUGGGUAGGCGCUCGUGCUUUAAGAUCGCUCAGGGGAGGCCCACAUCGCCCUGUCCGCUGGGUCCCUUUUGUUUCCUUCUUCUGCUAUUGGAAACUAGGCUGCAUGCGUUGCUGUAGUUUUAGCCAAAAGUCCUCAAAUAUUGUGUCCAGCCAUUGCAGGACAGUGUCUGUGAGGCAGCCAUGAGGUGUAUGCAGAUUCUGUGUGUUUGUCUUAGAGACUGCCACCAUCUUGAGGGUACGGGAAGCUACCAGGAUUCGGGCCUCCGUGAGAUCAAGAGGUAAGUGCGGUAAUGGUAGCCAAGGGUCAACCAGUGGGGACCGGGAUAUCCCCCACCGGUCCAGAGGGGGGUUGGGGGUAGGAGUGUAGCCGCCUUCCCCCAGCUCUGUCGCCCGCAGGCCGCAAUGCUCGUCCGCGGCAACCCGCUUGCCUGUGUGCUCGAGGAAGGGGUCUGUGGAACCAGCACUGUACCCCCAACCAGUGUGGCGUGGUUUCGUUGUGAGCAAGGUGCUGGUUGAGGGGGGGUCCCCCAAAGAUUGGCAAGACGUGCUGGAGCUCAUGCGGUAUGCGUCCGCUCAGCUUGAGGUCUUGGCU